rnacentral:sRNA from 1 species
AUGCGGACCUGUCCGUCACCGAAGCCAGCAGCUCCGACAGCCGAGGAGAGAGGGCCGAGCUCUAUGCACAGGUGGAGGAGGGUCUCCUGGGAGGAGAAGCCAGCUAUCUGGGCCCUCCCCUCACCCCGGAGAAGGACGACGCCCUGCAUCAGGCCACCGCGGUGGCCAACCUGCGCGCGGCGCUCAUGAGUAAGAACAGCCUGCUGUCGCUGAAGGCCGACGUGCUGGGGGAUGACGGCUCCCUGCUGUUCGAGUACCUGCCCAGAGGGGCCCACUCGCUGUCCCGAGUCAUUGGCUGAAUGCAAGCUCGUCCGGGUUGCGCAGGGGCCGGGGGUCUUUGUGCUCCAGAGACGGGCUCGGGCGCCCCCUGCCGGCCCCUCUGUCGCCUUCGUGCUGAGACUCGUUUCGCGCAAGGGAGAUGGGGGCGGCCG